AAUCAACGCUGGCGGCGUGCCUCAGACAUGCAAGUCGAACGCGAAAGUUUCCUUCGGGAGACAAGUAGAGUGGCGCACGGGUGAGUAACACGUAGGUAAUCUACCUUUGGAUGGGGAGUAACAACCGGAAACGGUUGCUAAUACCGCAUAAUGCAGCGGCACCUAAUGGUGACAGUUGUUAAAGCGGGGAGUCGAAAGACCUCGCGUCUGAAGAGGAGCCUGCGGCGGAUUAGCAGUUGGUAAGGUAAUGGCUUACCAAGGCUACGAUCCGUAACCGGCCUGAGAGGGGCGGUCGGUCACACUGACACUGACAUACGGGUC
rnacentral:rRNA from 1 species